AUUGCGCGGAUCGAGCUUUUGCACACAUGGACGGAAAUCUUCGAACCAAGAAGCUCCUGCUUACGCGGCGGCUUUUAGAACGACAGUCUGAACAAUGGACGACAGCUCGUGAUGCAUCUCGAAGCACUUGGAUCUCUGCUGUUGGCUAAGCUGGUUGUGUAAUCGCAGACAUGGCCGCUUCCUUGAUCAGAACGUGCACGACAUUUAGUUUACUGCGGCUGCCACUCAGCAAAGUUGUCAGAAGCAAUAGCGUAAGGAAGUGCGUGCUACACAGUUUGCCUCUCGCGUGCACGCAAUGCCAGCGUUACCACACAACGCCACAGUAUUUCAAGAGCAACAGGUCGAAGGCAAGACCCUUCACUCUGAUCAAACCGAAGAAAAAUCUACCAGUCGUGGGUAUUUGGAGCGGAAUUACGGUGUCAGAGCUGGCCGAGUCCGCAGGAAGGAGCAUAGACGAUGUCAUGAGCGCUAUUCAGCUGACUGAUUUAAGUCAGCGACGUUACAGGAAAGAAACCCCCCUGGAGGAUUCGAACGUGUUGUACAAUGUCGUCCGGAAACUCGGGGCAAAGAUAAAAUUGAUCUCUAGACCGGACGGCAAAGAGGAGAAGAGUACGAAAGACUGCAAUGCUGUUAAACGGCCACCACCAGACGAGUCUGUGCUGAUAAAACGUCGUCCAGUGGUGACAAUUAUGGGCCAUGUCGAUCACGGCAAGACUACGCUGCUAGAUACAUUACGUAACACGUCGGUCGUGAAAACGGAGUUUGGUGGUAUCACCCAGCAUAUUGGAGCUUUCAACGUAACGUUGAAAACGGGGGAAACUGUUACGUUUUUGGACACCCCUGGACACGCCGCUUUUAAUAUUAUGCGAAUGAGAGGCGCGCAAGUAACUGACAUUGUAGUACUAGUGGUGGCAGCGGAUGACGGCGUGAUGGAGCAAACCGUAGAAAGUAUUAAGAUGGCAAAAGCCGCGAAUGUCCCGAUUAUUGUGGCUGUCAACAAGAUCGAUAAGCCGGAAGCCGAUAUUACUAGAACGGAAAAGAUGCUUGCGCAACAAGGGAUUCAAGUGGAGGCAAUGGGCGGGGACAUUCAGAGCGUUAACGUAUCAGCUUUGCACGGAACCAAUCUAGAUACCUUGACAGAGGCUAUAGCGUUGCAAGCCGAACUCGUGGGAUUAAGAGGUGACCCGACGGGAUUAGUCGAAGCUGUCGUAAUCGAGUGUUCUACCGAUCGUCAGCGUGGCAAAUUAGCGACAGUUUUAAUUCAACGUGGCACUUUGAGGAAAGGUGCAUUUCUUGUGAGCGGCUUAGCGUGGGCCAAAGUAAGAGCCAUGUUCGAUCAUUCCGGAAAUCCAGUUGUAGAGGCUAAGUUAUCCGACGCAGUGCAGAUUAUCGGAUGGAGGGAUUUGCCUACCGCCGGAGAUGAGAUACUAGAAGUUGAGAAUGAGAAAAAGUUACGCAUGGUAAUGCGAUACAGAGAAGCGGUGAAAGCUACGCAGCUGGCGCAGGAACAUAAAAUUGCAGCGGACAAAAAGCACGAAGAAUAUCUGAAAGAAUACAAGGAGCAUCGGGCAAAGAGAAGAGCACUUGGCAGAUAUAGGAAGUUAUCAGCACCUGUUAAAAAUGACAAGCCCGAUGAUGGAAUACCCAAACUUAACGUUAUCAUAAAAAGUGAUGUCGCUGGCUCUGUGGAAGCUAUAUUAGACGUUUUGAAUACAUAUGGGAGUGAUGACAAGUGUCAAUUGAGUAUUGUCCAUUACGGUGUUGGACCUGUUGUGGAGACGGAUUUACAAAUGGCAGACGCAUUUGAUGCCAUCAUAUAUUCUUUUAACGUUGGCGUAAUGAAAGGCUUGCAACAGGAAGUUAGUAAAAAAAAGAUAUCAAUCCGUCCAUACAAUGUGAUAUAUAAGCUUAUUGAUGAUGUUAAAACGGAGAUAAAUAAAAGACUUCCACCGGUUGAGGCCGAAGAAGUGAUAGGCGAAGCAAAUGUACUGCAAGAGUUUCAGAUCACAGAUAAGAAAAAGAAAGUAAAGGUCGCGGGUUGCCGGUGCGUCAAAGGCAACUUAAAGAAGGACGCAAUGUUCCAUUUGAUGCGCGAACAGGAAAUUUUGUUCACAGGAAAACUAGUGUCCAUGAAACAUCUGAAAAAUGAAGUGGAUACGAUCAAGGUUGACGUAGAAUGCGGCUUGAGAUUCGAGGAUCCCACAUUGUCUUUCAAAAACGGGGACGUUUUGAUUUGUUACAAUACGUAUCAAAAAUCGCAGGAAACUGACUGGGAUCCCGGCUUCUAACCGUAUUUAAAAAUCGCAAGGUUAAAUCAACUAAAACAAUCCUAUAUACUCUUCACUCGAGAUAAUUAUUUGGUCCAUUAGAUCACCCUGACAGAAUAUUCGGGCUCGCGUGUAGCACAUUAAGAGGCGUACGUCUCGCGGAAACGACG